GACUGGGAAUUGAGGUAAGAGUCAUCAGUGACACAGAAAAAAGCUGUGACCAAAAGUAACACUGUAACUGCUGGACUUUGAGAGACCUUGAUCAAAGACCACUGCCCGACUGCCCUGGGAACUUCAAGGAGUCAGCCAAAUGGGCCAUGCUGCUCGCAGUCUUCUGAAUGAUGAUCACAAAGGUCAUCUAGAACAAAUGUCUUAAGUGAUUUUGAGGUUAUGUGAGCAGAAAAAUAUAAUGGUAACAAAGGAAGUCAGGUGGUAUGAAGCGUGAACACACUAUUCUUGAAAGAGCUUAACAAAAAUCUGGAAGACUGAAUCCAAUCAACUCCCACCAGAGGCCUAAAAGUUUGCCCCCCACCCCCCUUGCUGCUGGGGCAGAGAUUCUGGACAGUGUGCAGCCUGUGAGGUAAUCUGAAUUCCUUGGCAACCACCAAGUACCUGAAUUCUUUCAAAACCGCAGGAAUCCAGCAGAGAAAAGUGAAAAUUUGGCUAUUAGCUCUGUCUCAAAAAGGGCCUCAGCAAACCGUUUUAGACCACAUAUUGGAUCCACCUAAAAUUGUAAAAUCCAGGGCAGAGUCUUUUUGGAUUCCACCUCUGACAAGAAAAAGAAAUCUACACCAUUUUGGUAGAGAAUGGUACCUCUCUCUGGAAACUGAGUGUCCUCUGCUGGUGCAAAGCAGGAAUACAUUUGUCAAACUCAAAAGUAGGGUGGACCUUUGGGGUGAAGUGCUGGGCACAAAUUUGAGGAACACAAUUUUUUCUAAACAUCUCCAUAUUUUGCCAUGUAUAAGAAAAUAAGGAGUCUUCCUGUGUUAAUAAAACAACAAGGACAACUGGAAAUUAUUAAUCUAAAUAGAAACUACUUCUGAUCUUUUUCUUAUUAAGUUUAAAAAGGUCAAGAAUUGACACAAAAUAUUUAUUUCCCAACACAGUCUUGUGAAAUGAACUUAAUCUUUAUGUCACCUAAGCAUUAAUUUGAGGCUCAAAACAGAAGUGACCCAGGAGAGGGCCCUUCUUUUCAAAAGAGGAAGCCAAUUAUAUUUGCUGCCAGGGCUUUCUCUUUAGGAAAAAUUAUGGUUUUCCUUGUUGAACCUCAAAGUAAAAUGGCCUAGUGAUCUCAUCCCAAACUGAUUAUCUUCAGUAAUGUCGACAGAAAACACACGUGACACAAAAUUACCAGAGGCUGCAGAUCUGGAGAUGCUAAAGACUAUUGUUGAAUGUAAUGACACAGUUGAGCAGAUUCUGAGGAUUAAAAAGAAGCAGAUGAAUGCCAAGAUCCACAGUAGGAAAGGCAACCAUCCUCAUCUCUAGAGCCACAGCUGUCAAGAAUUUCACAGUAGCUUCAUAAAGACUUAAUAGAGAAGACAUGAAAAUAUUCUUUAAAAUUAGCAAGAUGGAGCCCAGUCCCAUCAAGGGCCUAAUCUCAACUCACCGUCUAUGAGCAGAAGGUCACAGUAGCUUCAUAAAGACUUAAUAGAGAAGACUGUGAAAAUAUUCUUUAAAAUUAGCAAGAUGGAGCCCAGUCCCAUCAAGGACCCAAUCUCAACUCACCGUCUAUGAGCAGAGGGUUGUUAAUGUAACGGGAGACCAGGAUGUUCUCCUCCAGGGAAAUCUGGUUUGGCUAUUGAAAGAGAAAGAAUAAAAGGACAGAAAUCCUAACUCACAACAAGGGAGCAGAGUUCUUGACCUUUCAGAAACAAUAAAGUGGAAAACUACCACUCUUAAGAAAAGUUUUCCUCCGGGACACCUGGGUGGCUCAGUCGGUUAAGUGUCUGCCUUCGGCUCAUGAUCCCAGGGUCCUAGGUCAUGCCCCAUAUGGAAUCCUGCAUUGAGCACCCUGCUCAGCAGGGAGUCUGCCUCUCCCUCUGCCCCUCCUCAC